UUUAACCUAAAACAUCAUUCCUUUGUCCCCUUUUGAAAUAAUCAAGCUAUCAGCCCCUGAUUUUAGGGUUUCAUUUAGCCUAUCACUGCCGAAAAUGAAGCUCUUAGAACUCCAAAGCCAGUUUGCAGCCUCAAGAUCACUCCUCAAACUUCGAUUUAGCGAAGCAAAGAAGAACCCGUGGCGAAUUUGCAAGAGCUGGGCGUACGGAGAAGAAGACCCCGGGUGAUGUGGAGGCUGGGCGCAAGGGUCUCUCAUGUGAGACCAACUUUCUGGUGCCUCUCUAGCUUGUUCCAGACUCUUCUGGAAUUCACAAGAAGCUAAAACAAUUUUGGGUAUGAUGGGCUUCGGGUUUUGGGCUUAUUUAAGCUAAUUUUAUUUGGAUUUUGGAGAUUUAGAAUUUGAGUCAGAGUUUUGGGGUAUUUGGUUAAAAAAAUAGGUUUAUUUUAUUUUGGCCCAAAUAUUUGUAUUGGACUUUUAAUUUUGGAUUUUUAUUAAUUUUGUUUUAUUCUGGUUUUGGGUCUUGAUGUAAGCUCGGACAAAAAUGGGCCAUUACAUCAAUAACCGUCAUUUUCAUGAAUUUCGAGUUCAAUUUCAUAA